ACCUCUUCACCUUAUGCGGCAACCAUAAACAGAUAUGAUCUUUUGUGAGCCAAGACUCUCUGAUUUUUUUCAUCAUGAGAGAGCUGAGAAGGAGAGGAGCUGAACCUCUCUUAGGGGCAUGAGGAUCUGGGGUGGGCGCUAUCAUUUUGGUGUGAGCAUUAGAGGAGAUCCAACUUCUCUUUGGGUGAGAGACCUAGAAUUAUUCUAGGAUUUUCAGAUGAGAAAAAAUACUAGAGAGAAGAGUUCUCUUCUGAUUUUUUCUUUACCAUCCAGUAUCUCCUCUGAUCUAUCUUUGACAUCGAAAAUAUCUGAGGCGAUCGAAGAAGAGGAUCAAAUCAGAUCUGCCAUCAGAAGUCAUCUACGUGAGCUAGCACUCCCGCAGAAGCCUGAUCGGUUUGAGAGUUUCGUGUGAACGAUCC
rnacentral:lncRNA from 1 species